UCCUGGCUCAGGAUGAACGCUGGCGGCGUGCCUAAUACAUGCAAGUCGAGCGAACGGACGAGAAGCUUGCUUCUCUGAUGUUAGCGGCGGACGGGUGAGUAACACGUGGAUAACCUACCUAUAAGACUGGGAUAACUUCGGGAAACCGGAGCUAAUACCGGAUAAUAUUUUGAACCGCAUGGUUCAAAAGUGAAAGACGGUCUUGCUGUCACUUAUAGAUGGAUCCGCGCUGCAUUAGCUAGUUGGUAAGGUAACGGCUUACCAAGGCAACGAUGCAUAGCCGACCUGAGAGGGUGAUCGGCCACACUGGAACUGAGACACGGUCCAGACUCCUACGGGAGGCAGCAGUAGGGAAUCUUCCGCAAUGGGCGAAAGCCUGACGGAGCAACGCCGCGUGAGUGAUGAAGGUCUUCGGAUCGUAAAACUCUGUUAUUAGGGAAGAACAUAUGUGUAAGUAACUGUGCACAUCUUGACGGUACCUAAUCAGAAAGCCACGGCUAACUACGUGCCAGCAGCCGCGGUAAUACGUAGGUGGCAAGCGUUAUCCGGAAUUAUUGGGCGUAAAGCGCGCGUAGGCGGUUUUUUAAGUCUGAUGUGAAAGCCCACGGCUCAACCGUGGAGGGUCAUUGGAAACUGGAAAACUUGAGUGCAGAAGAGGAAAGUGGAAUUCCAUGUGUAGCGGUGAAAUGCGCAGAGAUAUGGAGGAACACCAGUGGCGAAGGCGACUUUCUGGUCUGUAACUGACGCUGAUGUGCGAAAGCGUGGGGAUCAAACAGGAUUAGAUACCCUGGUAGUCCACGCCGUAAACGAUGAGUGCUAAGUGUUAGGGGGUUUCCGCCCCUUAGUGCUGCAGCUAACGCAUUAAGCACUCCGCCUGGGGAGUACGACCGCAAGGUUGAAACUCAAAGGAAUUGACGGGGACCCGCACAAGCGGUGGAGCAUGUGGUUUAAUUCGAAGCAACGCGAAGAACCUUACCAAAUCUUGACAUCCUUUGACAACUCUAGAGAUAGAGCCUUCCCCUUCGGGGGACAAAGUGACAGGUGGUGCAUGGUUGUCGUCAGCUCGUGUCGUGAGAUGUUGGGUUAAGUCCCGCAACGAGCGCAACCCUUAAGCUUAGUUGCCAUCAUUAAGUUGGGCACUCUA
rnacentral:rRNA from 1 species